rnacentral:tRNA from 6 species
AGGGGUGUCGCCAAGUGGUAAGGCAAGGGACUUUGACUCCCUCAUCCGCUGGUUCGAGUCCAGCCAUCCCUGCCA